CGGACAAGUGACAAGAAGUAAAUAAAUGAAUAAAAUGGUGAGGAGCUCUGCCUCUUACAGAAACAGGUGGUGAGUAAUCACUGGAUACGCCGCUACUUACUGAUCAAGCUCAGUAUGGGUGGGCUGUAAACGUCUCCACAAGCGGGGUGAAAUUCUCUUUUGAUCCUGGCAGUGAUUUUGCAGCGUCUUUGUGGCAGAUUCGAUGUUCUUAGCUUCCCGCUGUGAAUAGUAAGUCCGCAAGCUCCGCCCUUCUCGAUGAAGUCAGCGCGUUUCGCCGUUCAGUUCUGGCUUCCUCAGGAGUUGCUGAUUACUCCAUAUUGGAGAUGGGCAUAAAAGGGCAAAGUCUCAAGUCCUUAUGGGUUGUUUUCAAAAUGCUUCAUUUACA